rnacentral:rRNA from 1 species
CAGCAGCCGCGGUAAUACGAAGGGUGCAAGCGUUACUCGGAAUUACUGGGCGUAAAGCGUGCGUAGGUGGUGGUUUAAGUCCGUUGUGAAAGCCCUGGGCUCAACCUGGGAAUUGCAGUGGAUACUGGGUCACUAGAGUGUGGUAGAGGAUAGUGGAAUUUCCGGUGUAGCGGUGAAAUGCGUAGAGAUCGGGAGGAACAUCAGUGGCGAAGGCGGCCAUCUGGGACAACACUGACGCUGAAGCACGAAAGCGUGGGGAGCAAACAGGAUUAGAUACCCCCGUAGUCCCUGUCUCUUAUAC